rnacentral:rRNA from 1 species
GACGAACGCUGUCGGCGUGCUUAACACAUGCAAGUCGAACGGUAAGGCCCUUCGGGGUACACGAGUGGCGAACGGGUGAGUAACACGUGGGUGAUCUGCCCUGCACUUCGGGAUAAGCCUGGGAAACUGGGUCUAAUACCGGAUAGGACCACUGCCUGCAUGGGUGGUGGUGGAAAGCUUUUGCGGUGUGGGAUGGGCCCGCGGCCUAUGAGCUUGUUGGUGGGGUGAUGGCCUACCAAGGCGACGACGGGUAGCCGGCCUGGGAGGGUGACCGGCCAAACUGGGACUGAGAGACGGCCCAGACUCCUACGGGAGGCAGCAGUGGGGAAUAUUGCACAAUGGGCGCAAGCCUGAUGCAGCGACGCCGCGUGAGGGAUGACGGCCUUCGGGUUGUAAACCUCUUUCAGCGCCGACGAAGCGCAAGUGACGGUAGGUGCAGAAGAAGGACCGGCCAACUACGUGCCAGCCGCCGCAGUAA